GCUCGGGUAGCUCAGUUGGUUUAGAGCACUUGAUUGAAGCUCAAGGUGUCGGCAGUUCGAGUCUGCCCCCGAGCA
rnacentral:tRNA from 1 species